CCUUCUGACCUGUAAUGCUGGAAAAAGUGACUGCUUCAAAUUCCCAUCAGUGGUAACAAUGGAACGUCAGCUUUAGAUGAAACAGCAAGAAAGGAAUUUGAAGCGAUCUAAGAAGAGAAUCCAAGGGCUACGCAGGAUUGCAGAACUGGGAGAGCUGAAACGUGGAGGAAUGGAGAA